GAUGAACGCUGGCGGCGUGCUUAAUACAUGCAAGUCGAACGGAGAGAGUAGCAAUACUGUCUUAGUGGCGAACGGGUGAGUAACGCGUUGGUGACCUGCCCCGAAGAGGGGGAUAACAGUUCGAAAGGACUGCUAAUACCCCAUGAUAUCUACCCGGUUAGAGGAGGUAGAUGAAAGGAGAGAUCCGCUUUGGGAGGGGCCUGCGUCCCAUCAGCUAGUUGGUAGGGUAAAGGCCUACCAAGGCAAAGACGGGUAGGGGGCCUGAGAGGGUGACCCCCCACACUGGCACUGAAACACGGGCCAGACACCUACGGGUGGCAGCAGUAGGGAAUAUUGGUUAAUGGGCGAAAGCCUGAACCAGCAACGCCGCGUGUGCGAUGAAGGCCUUCGGGUCGUAAAGCACUUUUGGCAGGGACGAGGGAAGGACGGUAACCUGUCGAAUAAGCCUCGGCUAACUACGUGCCAGCAGCCGGGUAACUCUAGUCUACG
rnacentral:rRNA from 1 species